rnacentral:rRNA from 1 species
CAUAACGACUCUCGGCAACGGAUAUCUCGGCUCUCGCAUCGAUGAAGAACGUAGCGAAAUGCGAUACUUGGUGUGAAUUGCAGAAUCCCGUGAACCAUCGAGUCUUUGAACGCAAGUUGCGCCCCAAGCCUCUGGGCCGAGGGCACGUCUGCCUGGGUGUCACG